UCUAAGGGGUGCUGCGGUUGUUGCCGCGGCUGAGAUCAUACCCAUGAACCUGAUCCGGGUAAUGCCGGCGUAGGUAGAGGAUAAU
rnacentral:ncRNA from 1 species